ACUUUUUUUUUUUUUUUUUUCUACGGGAGUGACAUAUGCAAGCCAACCCAAUCCAUCUGUAGCGACUUGCCAUCCUGAGACCGCAGGGCCCGCAACCUGCAGCGACGGAGAAGUGUUUUUCGUAGAACCAUCGCGAGUUUUUACGUUUCCAGGAGACAGUGCCGUCAGCACAAAGGAAUGGCCAAUGAAGAUCGCUUUCGCUGUAGCCACUGGAGUGCACGCUGGUGCUUGGAAAUAUUGGAGCCAGCCUGACGCAACAGCGCCUUUCCCGUGUUUGUGCACAGCGGACAGAACCUAUGACUUGGUCCGAGGGUUCAUCGGCGAAAUUGCUGAUGAAAUACUCAUUAAUCCACCAGUGACUUGAUGUCAACUAGAAGCGCUCGCUUCUGGCCACCUUACUUCUGCAGUAUGGAGUACCUUGAUCAACUGACUUGGGAGGAGCACACGGCACAGCAAGCCGGCGUGUCGUACCACUGUCACCACUCCGGUUAUAUCAGUUUGACGGCCUAAUAACGUAAGUGCUUUGUAGCACGGCACAGCAAACUGGCGUGUUUAACAACUGUCACCACACCGGUU
rnacentral:lncRNA from 1 species